rnacentral:lncRNA from 1 species
GACAAAUGAGAGGAAUAAUGGAGCUGAAGCUCUACCAAACGUUUUACCGGAGUCUAGCUCUGUGGUAGAACUGCUAUGUGGUGGAGCAGCAGCUCUAGAGCUGGUUUGACAGAGCUGGAGCUCUACUAAACAGGCCCUAUAUAGGCACUCCAGGACCCGUUUAUAGAACAAGUGCUGCUAUGUGCAUCAACACAUCUAUCUGGACUUUUCUUUUCCAAAAAAGAACUAGGGUGAUUAAUGCUGCAUGUAAAUGGGUCUUAUACAAGAUCUAUAACACUAAAUGACAGAAUAUUAAGACCCAUUAACUAGUCAUGGCGAAAUCUAUGCAACUGUUUUAGUAUGAAGGUGAAUUUUUCAAGACAAGUGACUUGAGUGUUCAAGUCUUUUCCAUUUUUCUUACACCAAUAAAGAAGAACAGAUAAAGAGGGAUAAAGGAGCUGGGAGCAAGGGCUCUCUCUACUUGUGGAUAAAAGCCAUUUAUGAUAUAACACGCAUUACAUCUAUAUCCACUAAAAAAUUGAACUAAUUCUGUGUGUUUCUUAUUUAACAUAUGUGCAUUAGAUUGGGGAAAAUGUUGUAAUGUAAUCAGUUUUAAUAAGAACACACAGCAAUUAGAUUUAUUCAAUGGAACUCAAGAGAAGGAAAUGAAUCCCCUGGAAGGCUGCAACACAAAAAAAUAUCGAAGUUAAGUAGGAUUAGAACCAUAUGCUCCAAAUGAAAGAACACCAAGCAAUAAUAGCUACUCAACAUACCUGGACAAUUUGUUGCUGUCACAAAGAGUGUUGUUUCAUUUACAACUAGCAGGUCAGGAAUGGUCCAUGUGAACUUAGAUCAAAACUGUAGCAGAAAGUAGUACUCAAAUCCAAAGUGAGCACUAGGUUCUGUCGUGUGGCAGGGCAGUGCUUUUUCUGGGGUCAAGAUGGUACAGCAGUCCUCUUUGCUUUCUAACACCAUCACACGAUUUAAAGGCUCCGCACAGGUAUUCCCCUGCCUCCUUCCAGCUGAAUUGUUGGUACUGUGUACUUAUUAUUCUUAAACUACACAUCAGCCCCCCC